GCGCGAGCGCGCAGUCUCCGCUCUGGUGUCCGCGGUCCAAGUGUCGCGCGAAUUGCUCUUUUGAAAGGUAGUGGGAAAACGGGUUGUUCUUCUGAAGAACUUUACGUCUGGAAGGCAGAGGAUGAAACGCCGAGAUUGAAAGAAGUCACUUGCAUGGGAGAGAGAGCAGGAGUGUGAGCGGGGCCAGGGACACAGUGAGACAGAUGGAGAGAGAGACAGAAUCCCAAGCAGGCUCCACAUUCAACACAGAGCCCACCAAAGGGCUCGAUCCCACAACCCUGAGUUCAUGACCUGAGCAAAAUCAAGAGUCUGACACUCAACCAACUAAGCCAAAUAGGCACUAUAAAUAUUAUUCACCAAAAGGAAAAGGUAUUUGGUUAGCAGUGCAGCACGCUUCUGGAAGAAAAGUUGUGAGGAGAAAGAACUCAAUGGCUAAGCAAGAAAAAGAAGUGGCACUUGGCAAAGACAAUGACCUUACUCCAGCUGGCAGCACCCUACUUCACUAUAAGUUACCAAUUGUCUCAAUAUUCUAUUUAGCAUAUAUUUGAUAUCUACUAAAGGAAAUAACUGCUAUUUAAUAUGACUGUCUUGGUUUUUGUCCUUGUACCCCUACAGUCUGUUUUUGACACAGUUCAGUGUGAUUCUUUUAAGACAUAAAUCCUAUCACAUCAUUCCUGUUUAAAAUCCUUUAAGUGAUUCCCAAAUGGAGUGAAAAUCCCAGUUGUUACAGUGGCUCACAAGACCCUACACAGUCUACAUCCCUACCUCCUCUGUCUUCCCACUUAGCUCUCUGACCUCAUCUCUCACUACGAUCCCACUUGCUCAUUAUGAUCCAGCCACCAGGCCUCCUUGUUCUUCAAUAAGUCAAAUAAGCACUCUCCUAGCUUAGAGUCUUGGCUCUUAUUCUCUCUGCCUGGAAUGUUCUUCCACAAAUACUCACUUUAUUCUCAGCUUUAUUCUCUCACUUAAGUCUCUGCUCUCACAUCAUAUCAUAAAGCCUUAUUCUGCCCAACAUUAAAAAACACUACUUCUUGUUACCAAUCCAGCACUAUCCAUCCCUCUUAUAAUCUUUUAUUUUCAUUUAGGAUAUUAUCGCCAUCUGAUAUCCUCUUUCCUAACUAUCCAUCUCUCCCCACAUUCCUAAGCUCCACGAGAACAGGAAAUAUAUUCUUUCACAGCUAGAGCUCCAAAAUGCAAAAUAUUGCUUGAAUGUUGGUGAAUGAUUUUUUAUCCAAAUAACAUAGAACAGGCACUGAGAGCUCUCCCCUCAGCAUUUCUCCAAACCAAUCUGCUAGAUAUGUUGCCACUGCUACAGUCAUCUUCCUCAAAGGCCACUGAAUGACAGCACUCUCAUGAAUCAGCUUCCCCUCACCAAAUAAAAUCCAAACAUCUUACUCUGAGUUUUGAGUAAUGUCCAACUUGCCCCAAAUCUACCUAAUGGCACUCACCAGCAGGCUUCCUUGAAACUUACACAGUCUCAGCACAGCUUCCUCAUUAUCCAUAAUCUCUAUUUAAACUAUCUUUUCUUCUUAAUCCUUUAUGGAAUCUAACAACCCUUCUUGAGCCAUCUUUCUCAUCUUAUUUAAUAACAUUAUUUUAAAUGGUCACGUCUACCAUCUUCAACCCUAAAGGUGAUAUUAAAAUAACUUGUGUUUGUUUUCUUGUGGUGUAUAAAUUAAUGUUAAAUAGAACUGUGAGAAUAUAUUCUAGAAGGUAUCAUACAGAAUAAAUAAAACAGAUAACUAAAUAACCAAAUUCAUUCCAAGAUAUUUUCUUUGAGAAACCAAAGCAUGAUCCCAAAAUCCUACUGAGUCUCUUUAAUGACUGCAUCUUUUCUCCUGGUACCUUACAGUCAAAAUGUUUGAAUGUUCACCUAAAACUCUGACAUGUCAACUCAAAUAAUGUUUCAAAUAUUAGUGGCUAUUUUAUUUUUUUUCAAGUAGGGAGAGAGAACUAUGUGGGAGCCUGAAUUCUAUUCCUGAAUUCUAGCAGGCUGUCUGACCACCAGCACCAGCAGUCUUCUGGGGCUACUGAAACAGCAUGGGAAAAAAACCAAAACAACUAUAAAGUCUUAAACUAACCUCUUCAUAAACAAUGUUGGUAAUAUGGAAAUAUAAAAAGUUCACACUCUGUUAUCUUCCAGAGCAAGGGGCAACAACAGGGAGUAAAGUAGCUUACCUCAGGCUAAUAGACUCCCAUCAGAGCUUUUUGGAAAACUGAUGAAAAAUUUUAUCUUCAUUCAAAAGAGAAAAACAAAUUAUUAUCAGGUAUUUAUUCUCCUAGCUCACAGGGGAAGCAGUACCUGAGCUAAAAGCACAGGUCUGGUAUUGAAAAGUCCCAAGUCAUAUUUGCUGGGAAUUAAACUGUCAACAAAUCUUUCAAAAUGCCAAGAAGUACUCAAAAGAGCAAAUGUGUAUUUGAGGGAAAAAGCACAAUA